UGCAGUCUUGUCAAAUUUCAUUGUGCCCUUCCUGUUGGUGUAUACUGGCCAAAAUGUCUGCUACAAAAACAUGUAGUUCAUGGGCCACACAUCUAGAAUGGAUGGAUUCUGGGGAUUGUGCUACAGAUAAAU